CUUGUCAUCUGUACCUCUAGCAAGCAUACU
rnacentral:piRNA from 1 species